UAGUCAGUGAAAGUCUGACCUCGGAAAGUACCAAGACAUCCGAGUAGCUAGGAUACCUGCGUACGGCGAAAUCUGUGCGUAGAAGCGUGUCGACGAAAGUACCCGUCAGAGUACGGGGCGAGCAAGAUACCAGGCCGCAACAUGA
rfam:Alicyclobacillus acidoterrestris ATCC 49025 contig_190, whole genome shotgun sequence.